rnacentral:rRNA from 1 species
GUGAACGCUGGCGGUAGGCCUAACACCUGCAAGUCGAACGGCAGCACAGUAAGAGCUUGCUCUUACGGGUGGCGAGUGGCGGACGGGUGAGGAAUACAUCGGAAUCUACUUUUUCGUGGGGGAUAACGUAGGGAAACUUACGCUAAUACCGCAUACGACCUACGGGUGAAAGCAGGGGAUCUUCGGACCUUGCGCGAUUGAAUGAGCCGAUGUCGGAUUAGCUAGUUGGCGGGGUAAAGGCCCACCAAGGCGACGAUCCGUAGCUGGUCUGAGAGGAUGAUCAGCCACACUGGAACUGAGACACGGUCCAAGCUCCUAAGGGAGGCAGCAGUGGGGAAUAUUGGACAAUGGGCGCAAGCCUGAUCCAGCCAUACCGCGUGGGUGAAGAAGGCCUUCGGGUUGUAAAGCCCUUUUGUUGGGAAAGAAAAGCAGCAGGUUAAUACCCCGCUGUUCUGACGGUACCCAAAGAAUAAGCACCGGCUAACUUCGUG